UGAAGCGGCAAAAGCUCAAAUUUGAAAUCUGGCGUCUUUGGCGUCCGAGUUGUAAUUUGAAGAAGGUAUCUUUGGGCCCGGCUCUUGUCUAUGUUCCUUGGAACAGGACGUCACAGAGGGUGAGAAUCCCGUGCGAUGAGAUGACCCGGGUCUGUGUAAAGUUCCUUCGACGAGUCGAGUUGUUUGGGAAUGCAGCUCUAAGUGGGUGGUAAAUUCCAUCUAAAGCUAAAUAUUGGCGAGAGACCGAUAGCGAACAAGUACAGUGAUGGAAAGAUGAAAAGAACUUUGAAAAGAGAGUGAAAAAGUACGUGAAAUUGUUGAAAGGGAAGGGCUUGAGAUCAGACUUGGUAUUUUGCAUGCUGCUCUCUCGGGGGCGGCCGCUGCGGUUUACCGGGCCAGCAUCGGUUUGGAGCGGCAGGAUAAUGGCGGAGGAAUGUGGCACGGCUUCUGCUGUGUGUUAUAGCCUCUGACGAUGCUGCCAGCCUAGACCGAGGACUGCGGUUUUUACCCU
rnacentral:rRNA from 1 species